rnacentral:ncRNA from 1 species
CUUGUUGAUAAUGUCAGUAGUCAUAUUCUUGUCUCAAAUAUUAAGCCAUGCAUGUGUAAGUAUGAACUAAUUCAGACUAUGAAAUUGCAAAUGGCUCAUUAAAUCAGUUAUAGUUUGUUAAUGGUAACUGCUACUCGGAUAACUGUAGUAAUUCUAGAGCUAAUACGUGCAACAAACCCCGACUUCUGGAAGGGAUGCAUUUAUUAGAUAAAAGGUCGACGCGAGCUCUGCCUGUUGCUUCGGUGAUUCAUGAUAACUCGACGAAUCGUAUGACCAUCGUGCCGGCAACGCAUCAUUUAAAUUUCUAUCCUAUCAACUUUUGAUGGUAGGAUAGUGGCCUACCAUGGUGGUGACAUGUGACGGAGAAUUAGAGUUCGAUUAUGGGGAGGGAGCCUGAGAAAUUGCUACCACAUCUAAGGAAGGCAGCAGGCACACAAACUACCCAAUCCUGCACAAGGAGGUAGUGACAAUAAAUAACAAUACUAAGCUCUACACGGACCUUUAAAUAUAGGGAUUGGAACCUCAAGCAGAGAUGGAUAGAGAUGAUUAAGGACUAUGAU